CUGGUCUUGUCUGCUUUCCUCGGCCUGACCCGCAGAAAGUGACCGUCUUGUCCCCUUCCCUUCUCUGUCAGGCUGUGUCUCCCGCUGCCCCCCUUUCAACCUGGCACACCAGCACCGUGGUGCUUUCCUUCCAUACCAGGUGAAUCGGAGCACGCCAACAGCACAGAGCAGCCAGUACUAGGCACUGUGUUGCUCCCCUCACUGCCCAGCUGAGAUACAUCGUUUGAAGGAGGCUAGAGGGAAUGCUGUCCUGGGAAUCGGAGACACUAACUGUACACCUUAAAGAUAUGACAGAGGGGCCACCUGAUACCUGGAAAAGAAACCUGAGAGUUAGAUUUUCUUUAUGCCUGAAGAGAAUGGCAACUGCACCUGCACAAGUGUGAAGGAGGAACAGCAACAUUUUUGAGAUAGUAAAUGAGCUGCAUCAAACCAAAGAAUUAAAGACAAGUAGAUGAAGUACAGUAGUGCUACAGACCUUUCUCUAUUGAAAAUGAGCUGGAGAAGACUUUUUCAAGAGGUAUUAGUAAUUUUGCGUCAUGGGUAAUGACCUUGAAGAUGCUGAGGUUGGUAAAACUGAAAACCUCCUCACUAAAGCUACUGUACACAUGCUAACCCUGUGACCUGGUCAUAGUCUGUUACUUGACCAGGUGUCUCCAAAAUUCUGGCACUGCUAUCCCUGACUGCUAUGCUGUGUCUUUGAGAUGGAGAACUGAAAUCAUAAUAAAACUGCUGAUUACAGACUGAACAUGUUAUAGUUCUGCCACAGUACAAUAGCCCUAGAGCGCAAACUAGUAAAAGGUCUGACAUGCCUUUAUAACCUCACCUUUACAAAGUCAGCAUGAAGUUUUUAUUUUCCUGUCCUCCAGGAAAAUCUAUUUCUGUCAACAAAUCCCAAGGAAUCAAUACUCAUUUAGAAAACUGUAAUAACUGAAACAUUAAUCCUAAUGCCUUUUUAAUACUAAAUGCCUUUAUUAAUGGUUUAUAACUUUACCAUGGGCUAUGUAAGGGUGAUAGACAGCACAGGGUAAGCUUGGAGCAGGAGGCUUGUAAGGAUGCCUAUGUAUGAUACACGUCUCUGCUCACUGGUUCAAGAACAUGAUAUCAAAAUGGGUGGAAUCUUUUCUUUGUUUCCAUUACAAGAAUACAUCCCAUAUGGGAGUCAUCAGCAUCAAUGCUAAGCUUCCCUGUAAGCUCUUUUGAGCCACUGUUAUUAAAAACACAUUACACAUACACCUGUACAAGUUGAAGUCUUGGAAGAACAUGUCUACUUCCCAGAAAUCAAAGUACUUUCAGUGCGGAUGCCUGCAGGGGACAGUGAUCAUAAAGCAGCCAGGGAGCAAAAGGAAUGCUGAGAUUUCAGAGCCUGCAUGAUUACCCACAGCUGUACAAACAGUACAGUGGAGAAAACAGAUUGACCUUGGCCAUGUUUUGAGAGUGCCAGAUAACCAGGUCCUUUAGCACGCUCUGUUUCAACAUGAAGAGGAAAGAAGAGACGGUGACCCUGAGGAACAAGAGGAAACACAACAAUGACUAAAGAAGCAACAUACCAAGUCAGCAACUUAAACAUCUUCAAGGGACUGAUCUGAGAUAGAACUGGUAGGUGAUGACAGACACCUGCCUUAUGUACCUGACAGUGUGAGAAGUGGAUUAGACUGGAUGGAUGGCAGCAGUAUCUCAAGUACAAAUAGAAAGCACCCUCCAAAACAUUAA